rnacentral:rRNA from 1 species
CGGCGCACGGGUGAGUAACGCGUGGGUGAUCUCCCUUGGUGACCGGGAUAACAGCGGGAAACUGCUGCUAAUACCGGAUAAUCUUCAUGUUUAACUUCAUGGGGUAAAGGUGGCCUCUGCUUGCAAGCUACCACACCGAGAUGAGCCCGCGUCUCAUUAGCUAGUUGGUAGGGUAAUGGCCUACCAAGGCUACGAUGAGUAGCUGGUCUGAGAGGAUGACCAGCCACACUGGGACUGGAACACGGCCCAGACUCCUACGGGAGGCAGCAGUGGGGAAUAUUGCGCAAUGGGCGAAAGCCUGACGCAGCGACGCCUCGUGAGGGAUGAAGGUCUUCGGAUCGUAAACCUCUGUCAAGAGGGAAGAAACCCUUGGAUUCGAAUAGGGUCCUUGGCUGACGGUACCUCAAAAGGAAGCACCGGCUAACUCCGUGCCAGCAGCCGCGGUAAUACGGAGGGUGCAAGCGUUAAUCGGAAUCACUGGGCGUAAAGCGCUCGUAGGCGGUUUGGUCAGUCAGAUGUGAAAGCCCUCGGCUCAACCGGGGAACUGCAUUUGAUACUGCCAGACUUGAGUAUCGGAGAGGGUGGCGGAAUUCCGGGUGUAGGAGUGAAAUCCGUAGAUAUCCGGAGGAACACCAGUGGCGAAGGCGGCCACCUGGACGAUAACUGACGCUGAGGAGCGAAAGCGUGGGGAGCAAACAGGAUUAGAUACCCUGGUAGUCCACGCGGUAAACGAUGGAUGCUGGGUGUCGGGGGUUUACCUUCGGUGCCGCAGUUAACGCGUUAAGCAUCCCGCCUGGGGAGUACGGUCGCAAGGCUGAAACUCAAGGAAUUGACGGGGGCCCGCACAAGCGGUGGAGUAUGUGGUUUAAUUCG